AUUGAACGCUGGCGGCAGGCCUAACACAUGCAAGUCGAGCGGAGCGGCGGAAGGGUGAGUAAUGCCUAGGAAUCUGCCUGGUAGUGGGGGAUAACGUCCGGAAACGGGCGCUAAUACCGCAUACUAUCAGAUGAGCCUAGGUCGGAUUAGCUAGGUGGUGGUGUAAAGGCCUACCAAGGCGACGAUCCGUAACUGGUCUGAGAGGAUGAGCAGUCAAUCUGGAACUGAGACAGGGUCCAGACGCCUCCGGAGGGCAGCAGUUGGGAAUAUGGGAAAAUGGGCGAAAGCCGGAUCCAGCCAUGCCGCGGGUGUGAAGAAGGUCUUCGGUUUGUAAAGCACUUUAAGUUGGGAGGCGUUACCAACAUAAGAAGCACCGGCUAACUUCGUGCCAGCCUCCGCGGUACUAC
rnacentral:rRNA from 1 species